rnacentral:rRNA from 1 species
UACAGGGGGGGCAAGCGUUGUUCGGAAUUACUGGGCGUAAAGGGCCAGUAGGCGGCCAACUAAGUCCGACGUGAAAUCCCCAAGCUUAACUUGGGAACUGCGUCGGAUACUGGAUGGCUUGAAUUCGGGAGAGGGAUGCAGAAUUCCAGGUGUAGCGGUGAAAUGCGUAGAUAUCCGGAGGAACACCGGUGGCGAAGGCGGCUUCCUGGACCGACACUGACGCUGAGGCGCGAAAGCUAGGGGAGCAAACGGG